GUUAUUUUCACUUCAGAGGCACAUAUACUAAAACCGGAAUGAUACAGAGAAGAUUAGCAAGGAUUCUGUGCAAGGAUGACAAAAAAAUAAAAAAAUAAAAAUAUAAAU